AGAGUUUGAUCAUGGCUCAGGACGAACGCUGGCGGCGUGCUUAACACAUGCAAGUCGAGCGAACCCUUCGGGGUGAGCGGCGAACGGGUGAGUAACACGUGGGCAACCUGCCCUCAGCACUGGGAUAACCUCGGGAAACCGGUGCUAAUACCGCAUACGAUCACAGAGUCUGCGGAUUUUGUGAUGAAAGGAGCAAUUCGCUCUAGGAGGAGCCCGCGGCUGAUUAGCUAGUUGGUGAGGUAACGGCUCACCAAGGCUACGAUCAGUAUCCGGUCUGAGAGGACGGUCGGACACACUGGAACUGAGACACGGUCCAGACUCCUACGGGAGGCAGCAGUGGGGAAUUUUUGGCAAUGGGGGCAACCCUGACCAAGCAACGCCGCGUGGGUGAUGAAGUCUCUUGGGACGUAAAACCCUUUCGACGGGGAAGAAAACCGCAAGGUUUGACGGUACCCGUAGAAGAAGCCCCGGCUAACUCCGUGCCAGCAGCCGCGGUAAUACGGGGGGGGCAAGCGUUGUUCGGAAUUACUGGGCGUAAAGGGCGCGUAGGCGGUUCGCUAAGUUGGAUGUGAAAACUCUGGGCUCAACCCAGAGCCUGCAUCCAAAACUGGCGGGCUAGAGUUCUGGAGGGGGUAGCGGAAUUCCUGGUGUAGCGGUGAAAUGCGUAGAUAUCAGGAGGAACACCGGUGGCGAAGGCGGCUACCUGGACAGAAACUGACGCUGAGGCGCGAAAGCUAGGGGAGCAAACAGGAUUAGAUACCCUAGUAGUCC
rnacentral:rRNA from 1 species